CAAAACUGCCUUCCUUUCCAG
rnacentral:siRNA from 1 species